rnacentral:rRNA from 1 species
GACGAACGCUGGCGGCGUGCUUAACACAUGCAAGUCGAACGGAAAGGCCCUGCUUUUGUGGGGUGCUCGAGUGGCGAACGGGUGAGUAACACGUGAGUAACCUGCCCUUGACUUUGGGAUAACUUCAGGAAACUGGGGCUAAUACCGGAUAGGAGCUCCUGCUGCAUGGUGGGGGUUGGAAAGUUUCGGCGGUUGGGGAUGGACUCGCGGCUUAUGAGCUUGUUGGUGGGGUAGUGGCUUACCAAGGCUUUGACGGGUAGCCGGCCUGAGAGGGUGACCGGCCACAUUGGGACUGAGAUACGGCCCAGACGCCUACGGGAGGCAGCAGUGGGGAAUAUUGCACAAUGGGCGGAAGCCGGAUGCAGCAACGCCGCGUGCGGGAUGACGGCCUUCGGGUUGUAAACCGCUUUCGCCUGUGACGAAGCGUGAGUGACGGUAAUGGGUAAAGAAGCACCGGCUAACUACGUG